rnacentral:rRNA from 1 species
CCUACGGGUGGCAGCAGUGGGGAAUAUUGGACAAUGGGGGCAACCCUGAUCCAGCCAUGCCGCGUGUGUGAAGAAGGCCCUCGGGUUGUAAAGCACUUUCAGUGAGGAAGAACGCCUGGUGGUUAAUACCCAUCAGGAAAGACAUCACUCACAGAAGAAGCACCGGCUAACUCCGUGCCAACAGCCGCGGUAAUACGGAGGGUGCGAGCGUUAAUCGGAAUUACUGGGCGUAAAGCGCGCGUAGGUGGCUUGAUAAGCCGGUUGUGAAAGCCCCGGGCUCAACCUGGGAACGGCAUCCGGAACUGUCAAGCUAGAGUGCAGGAGAGGAAGGUAGAAUUCCCGGUGUAGCGGUGAAAUGCGUAGAGAUCGGGAGGAAUACCAGUGGCGAAGGCGGCCUUCUGGACUGACACUGACACUGAGGUGCGAAAGCGUGGGUAGCAAACAGGAUUAGAUACCCGAGUAGUC